CCCAGACUCCUACGGGAGGCAGCAGUGGGGGAUAUUGCACAAUGGGGGAAACCCUGAUGCAGCAACGCCGCGUGAGUGAAGAAGUAUUUCGGUAUGUAAAGCUCUCUCAGCAGGGAAGAAAAUGACAGUACCUGACUAAGAAGCCCCGGCUAACUACGUGCCAGCAGCCGCGGUAAUACGUAGGGGGCAAGCGUUAUCCGGAUUUACUGGGUGUAAAGGGAGCGUAGACGGCGGUGCAAGCCAGAUGUGAAAGCCCGGGGCUCAACCCCGGGACUGCAUUUGGAACUGUGCUGCUAGAGUGUCGGAGAGGCAGGCGGAAUUCCUAGUGUAGCGGUGAAAUGCGUAGAUAUUAGGAGGAACACCAGUGGCGAAGGCGGCCUGCUGGACGAUGACUGACGUUGAGGCUCGAAAGCGUGGGGAGCAAGCAGGAUUAGAUACCCGCGUAA
rnacentral:rRNA from 1 species